rnacentral:rRNA from 1 species
GAUGAACGCUGGCGGCGUGCCUAAUACAUGCAAGUCGAGCGAACGUACGAGAAGCUUGCUUCUCUGAUGUUAGCGGCGGACGGGUGAGUAACACGUGGAUAACCUACCUAUAAGACUGGGAUAACUUCGGGAAACCGGAGCUAAUACCGGAUAAUAUUUUGAACCGCUUGGUUCAAAAGUGAAAGACGGUCUUGCUGUCACUUAUAGAUGGAUCCGCGCUGCAUUAGCUAGUUGGUAAGGUCACGGCUUACCAAGGCAACGAUGCAUAGCCGACCUGACAGGGUGAUCGGGCACACGGGAACUGAGACACGGUCCAGACUCCUGCGGGAGGCAGCAGUAGGGAAUCUUCCGCAAUGGGCGAAAGCCUGACGGAGGAACGCCGCGUGAGUGAUGAAGGUCUUCGGAUCGUAAAACUCUGUUAUUAGGGAAGAACAUAUGUGUAAGUAACUGUGCACAUCUUGACGGUACCUAAGCAGAAAGCCACGGCUAACUACGUG